CUUAAGAACACGUUUUCAUCUAGAACUGAAGAACCCAUUUGCAAGAACUGAAGAAGAGGAUCGAAGAACGGAAGAAAUCGAUUUUCGUCACAUUUCUAUCAAACUUCAGCUGAAGAACACAAUUUUCAGCUGAAAAAUCGAAGAGCAAUAUGAUUUCUCUAAAGACGAACUGAAGAAUACCAUUUUCCUCUCAGAGCUUCGUUGUUCAUGAUUUGAGAGCUGAACAAGCUGAUUUUCUUCAAUGAUUCUUUGGUGAACUGUUGUUCCGUCUGAUUUUAUUUUGAGAAUUGAAAGAAAAUGCUUCACAAAUCAACUUGCCUCAUGUCUUAAAGCUUUAGGGUUGUUGGAAUAAAGUUUAUUAGAAGCUGAAGCUAAGUCAAAAGUAUAUGAAGAACUGAGUUGUAGCUAACUCAUCUUUUUUCGAAGAACUGCGGUGUUGAAGCUAGCGAUACCUAUGAUAUUUUGUCUGUAAUAUAGAUUUCGUCAAGUAAGUAUCAUCACCAUUUAAAAACAUUUGUGGAGUAUUCAAGGAUUGAUUUGUCAUAGCAAAAGUGUCAUGACUAGGUAAG